rnacentral:rRNA from 1 species
CCUACGGGUGGCAGCAGUGGGGGAUAUUGCACAAUGGGGGGAACCCUGAUGCAGCGACGCCGCGUGGGUGAAGAAGGGCCUCGGCGCGUAAAGCCCUGUCAGCAGGGAAGAAAAUGACGGUACCUGACGAAGAAGCCCCGGCUAACUACGUGCCAGCAGCCGCGGUAAUACGUAGGGGGCAAGCGUUAUCCGGAUUUACUGGGUGUAAAGGGGGCGCAGGCGGGGCUGCAAGUUAGGAGUGAAAGCCAGGGGCCCAAACCCGGGACUGCGUUUGAAACUGGGUGGCUGGAGUGAAGGAGUGGCAGGCGGAAUUCCUGGUGUAGCGGUGAAAUGCGUAGAUAUCAGGAGGAACACCGGUGGCGAAGGCGGCCUGCUGGACUGCAACUGACGUUGAGGCCCGAAAGCGUGGGGAGCAAACAGGAUUAGAUACCCGAGUAGUC